UAUGCCAAUGAUGAAAAAGGUGAAGGAUGAUGAGGACCUGAAGAAGUACGUGGUGAUGGUAAGCACAGUUGCAGACUGGCAGUACCAACAGCAAGGGCUCCAGUAUCAAAGCUUUGAUCCAAUAACAAACUUCCAGCUUGAGCAAGCAAUGCAAAAGAAGCGGACAGAUGUAAAAGUCAACGUCCAAGGUCAAGACUACACCGUCACUCUGCCAAACGGACCGGCCACCAACAGAAAGGGAGACGCAUUGCAGAUAAGGAGAAUUGACAAACUGAAAGAUGAAGUACCUGAGCACUGGGAUGCUAUGCCCCCAAACACUACGUGUGUGGCUGUCCCUAUCCAUGAGGAAACACCAGAGUACGGUGAAGUCCUGAAUCUAUUCCAGGCCUCGUGCAAACAAACAGUCAUCAAGAUUGACAGGAUCCAGAACCCAAUGUUCUGGAAGAGCCUACAGGUCAAGAAGCGUGACAUUGAGCAGCGAAACGGUCAUUCAAACAACGAGAGGCGUCUGUUCCACGGCACCACUGAGACCAUAGUGAACACGAUUAAUGAAAAUGGCUUCAACAGGGCUUACGCAGGAAAGAACGCUGCUUGUUUUGGCAACGGCACGUACUUUGCUGUCAAUGCCAACUACUCUGCCCAGGACACAUACUCCCGGCCGAAUCUGAAAGGGGAGAAGUGCAUGUACCUCUGCCAAGUGCUGACCGGGGAUUACACGCUUGGAAAAAAAAACAUGGUCGUACCACCAGCCAAGAGCAACACGUCCCUUCAGUUGUACGACAGUGUCGUGGACAACAUGGCUAAUCCCAACAUGUUCAUCAUCUUUCAUGACGUCCAGGCUUAUCCGGAGUAUUUGAUCACAUUCAAGUAACGCCACGAUGUUCUGACAUAACAAGGACCAAAUGUCUCCACAUUUUAUACUGCGUUAAAAACACUUAGUCUUUGUUUCACAUCAGCUGAAUAAUCGCAUUUGUUUUCCCAUCUACUUGAGGUAUUUGGUUAAAGAAGGUAUUUAGUAAUCAAGUAAUAAUCACAAGAGUCAGGAAUCAGAGCCACAUGGUGCCUUGGAAAUGAACCAUACAUUGAUCACAUAACAAUGUCAAGAAAGGCGAAUGAUUGCAAACAGAUUUUUGUUUUUGCCUGUAUGUUAUUCUUUGUAUAAUCAAACCGAUAAUUGAGUGUCGAGAAUGAUGGACCUGCUCUCCUGAAGGAAAUCAUGGGAUACAAACUGGUUUUGAAAUUCAGAUUAGCGAUUACUUUUGGUUUUGAGAGGAGUAUGGAAGUUAACUGCUGUUCCAAUAAACGCGGUGUAAUUAGAAGUUCAUAAGAGCACACUUGCUUGUUCAGCGUUUUCUUUAUUUGAUUUAGAGUUGAUAAGUCGAGCUUCACAGUUGUGUCCAUUUAUGUCUAUUAGAGCACCACACAUAGGAAAUUGUAGUAUUGAAAGAAAUAUCAGUUUAAAUAUGUGUCAAUUUCUUCAAAUUUACAUAGCCUUGUAGUACACACCAGGUAGAAUAUGUCAAACCCCUCCUUUCCACAUAAACGUAUACAUACAAUCACAAAUGAGAAACAAAUACAGCCCAAACCACAAAGUUUGCUUCUCUGUGUGAAAGUUGUGUUUUUCCUACCAAGCUUUCUCAAUAAAAGUGAAUAUUCAACACUAA